rnacentral:rRNA from 1 species
UUUAUGGGGUGACUGCGUACCUUUUGUAUAAUGGGUCAGCGACUUAUAUUCUGUAGCAAGGUUAACCGAAUAGGGGAGCCGAAGGGAAACCGAGUCUUAACUGGGCGUUAAGUUGCAGGGUAUAGACCCGAAACCCGGUGAUCUAGCCAUGGGCAGGUUGAAGGUUGGGUAACACUAACUGGAGGACCGAACCGACUAAUGUUGAAAAAUUAGCGGAUGACUUGUGGCUGGGGGUGAAAGGCCAAUCAAACCGGGAGAUAGCUGGUUCUCCCCGAAAGCUAUUUAGGUAGCGCCUCGUGAAUUCAUCUCCGGGGGUAGAGCACUGUUUCGGCAAGGGGGUCAUCCCGACUUACCAACCCGAUGCAAACUGCGAAUACCGGAGAAUGUUAUCACGGGAGACACACGGCGGGUGCUAACGUCCGUCGUGAAGAGGGAAACAACCCAGACCGCCAGCUAAGGUCCCAAAGUCAUGGUUAAGUGGGAAACGAUGUGGGAAGGCCCAGACAGCCAGGAUGUUGGCUUAGAAGCAGCCAUCAUUUAAAGAAAGCGUAAUAGCUCACUGGUCGAGUCGGCCUGCGCGGAAGAUGUAACGGGGCUAAACCAUGCACCGAAGCUGCGGCAGCGACACUAUGUGUUGUUGGGUAGGGGAGCGUUCUGUAAGCCUGUGAAGGUGUGCUGUGAGGCAUGCUGGAGGUAUCAGAAGUGCGAAUGCUGACAUAAGUAACGAUAAAGCGGGUGAAAAGCCCGCUCGCCGGAAGACCAAGGGUUCCUGUCCAACGUUAAUCGGGGCAGGGUGAGUCGACCCCUAAGGCGAGGCCGAAAGGCGUAGUCGAUGGGAAACAGGUUAAUAUUCCUGUACUUGGUGUUACUGCGAAGGGGGGACGGAGAAGGCUAUGUUGGCCGGGCGACGGUUGUCCCGGUUUAAGCGUGUAGGCUGGUUUUCCAGGCAAAUCCGGAAAAUCAAGGCUGAGGCGUGAUGACGAGGCACUACGGUGCUGAAGCAACAAAUGCCCUGCUUCCAGGAAAAGCCUCUAAGCAUCAGGUAACAUCAAAUCGUACCCCAAACCGACACAGGUGGUCAGGUAGAGAAUACCAAGGCGCUUGAGAGAACUCGGGUGAAGGAACUAGGCAAAAUGGUGCCGUAACUUCGGGAGAAGGCACGCUGAUAUGUAGGUGAAGCGACUUGCUCGUGGAGCUGAAAUCAGUCGAAGAUACCAGCUGGCUGCAACUGUUUAUUAAAAACACAGCACUGUGCAAACACGAAAGUGGACGUAUACGGUGUGACGCCUGCCCGGUGCCGGAAGGUUAAUUGAUGGGGUCAGCGCAAGCGAAGCUCUUGAUCGAAGCCCCGGUAAACGGCGGCCGUAACUAUAACGGUCCUAAGGUAGCGAAAUUCCUUGUCGGGUAAGUUCCGACCUGCACGAAUGGCGUAAUGAUGGCCAGGCUGUCUCCACCCGAGACUCAGUGAAAUUGAACUCGCUGUGAAGAUGCAGUGUACCCGCGGCAAGACGGAAAGACCCCGUGAACCUUUACUAUAGCUUGACACUGAACAUUGAGCCUUGAUGUGUAGGAUAGGUGGGAGGCUUAGAAGUGUGGACGCCAGUCUGCAUGGAGCCGACCUUGAAAUACCACCCUUUAAUGUUUGAUGUUCUAACGUUGACCCGUGAUCCGGGUUGCGGACAGUGUCUGGUGGGUAGUUUGACUGGGGCGGUCUCCUCCUAAAGAGUAACGGAGGAGCACGAAGGUUGGCUAAUCCUGGUCGGACAUCAGGAGGUUAGUGCAAUGGCAUAAGCCAGCUUGACUGCGAGCGUGACGGCGCGAGCAGGUGCGAAAGCAGGUCAUAGUGAUCCGGUGGUUCUGAAUGGAAGGGCCAUCGCUCAACGGAUAAAAGGUACUCCGGGGAUAACAGGCUGAUACCGCCCAAGAGUUCAUAUCGACGGCGGUGUUUGGCACCUCGAUGUCGGCUCAUCACAUCCUGGGGCUGAAGUAGGUCCCAAGGGUAUGGCUGUUCGCCAUUUAAAGUGGUACGCGAGCUGGGUUUAGAACGUCGUGAGACAGUUCGGUCCCUAUCUGCCGUGGGCGCUGGAGAACUGAGGGGGGCUGCUCCUAGUACGAGAGGACCGGAGUGGACGCAUCACUGGUGUUCGGGUUGUCAUGCCAAUGGCACUGCCCGGUAGCUAAAUGCGGAAGAGAUAAGUGCUGAAAGCAUCUAAGCACGAAACUUGCCCCGAGAUGAGUUCUCCCUGA